CGGAGACCCAGGGCAAGGGUCACCCCAAGGCUGCUGGGGACACGUCGUGAGGGCGGAGGAGGUGACACCUGCAAGAGGAGGGUGACACCUGCAGAUCUCCCGCUGAAAAGCCACUUUUGCCGUAGAGAACCAGCAGACCGGCACACUCUGGAGCCAUGAGGUGAAGGAGGACGCAGAGAAGGGUGCCAGGUGCACAGGAAACCAUGGCAGGGACCAGCACACAAACCUAGCCAGCCGCUAAUCUUUACAUGAAAUCUAAGCCUCUGCAGAGUCUGGAAAGGAAGUCAGAGGUGUGACAGAGAUGUCUCACUGCUGUGCCUCUGCCUGCAGACAUUUGGGGCUUGACUUCUGAACUCGCAGUAAAUUGGAAAGAUGUAUGUCCGUCAAUUUUAACUCCUUUCCUAUUCCUGUAGUUCAUUGCAGAGCUCGUAUUAACCUGAGUUGCGAUGUGGCAGUUCCCAUGUGCGAUAUUUUGUUACAAAACUCAUCCUGACUAGCUUGCUGAACUACAAAUGCCAAAGCCUGGUGCAGUUGUUUGCCAUUUUGUACAAAGAGCUUAAGCUCUGCAUUGUUUUCACUGCAGAUGCAGUUUAAGAAUGUAGCAUUUUGAGAGCUUCUCCAUACACCUUUGAGACAGUUUACUUUGACAGUGUCUGGAUACACACAGUGCAGGAAUCUACGGGUGUGAUUUCAUCUCUUUCAAACACAAUUUAAAUUUCAGUGAGGAGAAUCAAGGCUACAGAAUUCCUGGAUUUUCUGAGCUUGCUACUCAAAAGAGUUCCUUAGAAUCGGUUAACAAAAAACCCCCACAACACCUGAGUGAUGCUGAAAGUGGUCUUGGUGACUUAGAAGGAAACAAAAUGGUAGAUGUGGGGAAUUGAGGGUGUAGUUUAGAGAUUGUACAUUGAAGGGAAACGAGAUAAAUGUCCUACUUCAAUUGCAAUAACACAAAAUCAUGAGUUGUGCUUAGUGCUGCCCAAGCAUCCCAUUAGUUCCUCUUAGUUAGUUCUACCCAGUAAAAUCUACUUAAUUAGUUGAAGGUUUUAAGUAAAAGAUCAGAGUAAAGAUACAUCUUGAACAGAGAUCUGGAAUAUGGGUUGUUUUGCCUCUGACACGGAUUCCCUGUGGAUCUUAACCAAGCCUCUAAUAAACCCUGUUUUCACUCACAAGUACAGUGUGUGCAGAAUUUCUGUCAGUGAAAUGUUCACACACAGGGGCUGACAGGCUGCACCUUUAAGGUGCUGGUGCCUUUACUUCCUCCUUGGUAAACCUGAUCUAACUCACCUCAGGGACCUCCUUCUUGCAGGGUGCUGAGAAUAAAUGAAGAACAUCAAGUGCAUUACUGCAGGGGAGGUUGGAGGAGCAGAAGCACCCCUGAAUUGGGCAGUGUUGCUACAGAUUCAGAAAUGGGACAGGGAUCCAGAGAGCACUUUUCCCAUGUGUUUUAGGAGUGGGUGACAGAGGGAAACUUGAGGCAAAUGCUGUGAAGCACUCAGGAGGCACUAAGCUGGUGUGAUUUUUGGACCUGAGAACUUUGCUGUGAAGACCUGGUCUACAGGACAGUGCUCAAGUCAUCGUCCUCUCUGUUGUUUGGUACUGCAGAACUGUGAAUGAAUGGUAAACAAGUCACUCCUCACCAGCGUGCCUGCUGCGGGUAGAGCAGACAUGAGAAUUUCACUAGGACCACUUUAAAGCAGGCUGUACUGAAAUGACAGAUGACUGGAUUGGGAGUAGGAAGAAAGCAGAAGUCCUUUUGUACUGAAGAAAGGGGGAUGGCACACUAUAGCUGGAUCUGGUUCUCUUUUACAGGUCUCUUUCAGAGCUAAAGCAGUUCUGGGUGACCCCACCCAACUGAUUUUAUUGUUUAAUUUCUUAAUGUCAGUGACAGCCAUUGCAGGUCCCAGGUAGAACAGCCUUUCCUACACAGUCAGUUUUAUAAAUCUUGUCAUUUCUUCUUUGUGACCACAAAAACACAGGUGGUAUGGAAAGAAAUCUGCUUGAAUGUAAGACUCAUGGGUGGUUUUGGUUUGGACCUUUUUUCUGCUAGUUUUGAGCUUAAGUUUUCUCGUCUCCUGGUCUAUAAAAGUCAGAACAGCCCCUGUUGGUCUCACAUGGUGAUUAAACUGCUUCACAAGUGCUCUUGAGAUCUGUAAUGAGUAAAAUUGUGAAGCUGUUCUGGCAGAUCAGCUGUUCUGUCUGGGUCACAAGCAGCAACACUUAUUGAUUGCACUUGGGCAGACUUGCAGAGACAGACAGUUGUGAUAACAGUUCAGGGUGUGUGAGAAGUCAGGGCAGAGCAUCAGGAGGGGUUCAGCUGGCUCAGAAGUUAAAAACUGCCAAUUAUGUUCCUAAUGCUGCUUCCCUGUUUGCAGAAUAUGGAUAUCUAUAUAUUUAUAUGUGGACACAUCUAUUAUCUGCUAUCAUACAUCUAUUCCUUCUCUUUGAUAUUGUUGCCUUUAGUGCUCACCAAUAUACAGCAAAGUAGUUACCCAAUUCAUUCAUUAUCCUGCUCUCUAAAGAGCAGACACAGAAAACACAUUUGGACGGGGAUUUUUCUUUAGCUUUGCUGUCUGAUUCCCUAAUUAGUCCUGUCACACAAUGUUCCAAAUAUGGGCAUGUGGGGAAAUCCUAUAGACCAGAAACCUAAAUCUUGAAUUAAGGUUUUAGAGGAACUAGUAAUAGCAGUUAAGUCUUGUAGACUCUCAUCCUUGGUGUCCAUUUUAAUAUGAGCUGACAAAAAAUGUGAAUUUGUUGCCAGUUCUGUCUGUAUGUGGUACCUGCAGUUUUGUUUCAGUCUGUGGUCUGACUUUGCAACCUCAGUGUUAGGUUUUUCUCAAGGUAUUCAUCAUAGACCAGGUCAUAUUUGUUGCUCUUUGGUAGCAUCAGGCAUGUUUGAAGCAAUUUUGUUCC